rnacentral:rRNA from 1 species
GUGCACCAGGCGCGAAUCCUCCGCAAUGCGGGAAACCGUGACGGGGUCACCCCGAGUGCCACCCGAUGAGGGUGGCUUUUCCCCGGUCUAAAAAGCCGGGGGCAAUAAGCGGGGGGCAAGUCUGGUGUCAGCCGCCGCGGUAAUACCAGCCCCGCGAGUGGUCGGGACGUUUAUUGGGCCUAAAAGCGUCCGUAGCCGGCUCGGUAAGUCCCUCCUUAAAUCCACGGGCUCAACCCGUGGGCUGGGAGGGAUACUGCCGGGCUAGGGGGCGGGAGAGGCCGAGGGUACUCCCGGGGUAGGGGCGAAAUCCGUUAAUCCCGGGAGGACCACCAGUGGCGAAGGCGCUCGGCUGGAACGCGCCCGACGGUGAGGGACGAAAGCUGGGGGAGCAAAGGGGAUUAGAUACCCGUGUAGU